rnacentral:lncRNA from 1 species
AUUUUCCUUUGCUUCAGCUAUCGGUUGUGUUCUACUAUGAAAAAAGUUAGCGCCGGUUAGCGGUAGCAACAGCUAGCAGUAAUAUUAAGUGAUACUACUACAACAGACUGUGCCGCUUGUCAGGUUACACAACUUAAUAUGUAUAUAUGUUCUUGUCAGUGGACGUAUGUCGCAGGAGGUGGAAGUCGCUCAGGGACAGGUACUUACGACACAAAAUGAGUGAAAAGGAGGGGGAAAAGAGCGGGUCAGCGGCAGGGACAGUGACGAAAUGGAAAUUCGCUGGGGUCCUGUCCUUCCUCGACCCCUUUGUAACCCCGAGGGAGACCAGCAGCAACUUACUUCGGGGGGCAGAGGAGGUAGAGGAGGACGGGGCUCCAGAUACACUGUAAGGGGCAGGAGAAGAUGAGGAGCUUGAGGAGGCAGCAGCAGGGCCAUCGCACAUAGCAGGUUUGUUGACAAGUGAAGACACGUACAGCUUCUGUAUUAUGGCCACAGGAACGGUUUACAGUGCGGCACGAUUCUUUCUAUCUUUAAUGUGCUGUAAUAUAGAUCAUGCAUAUAUCAUCCAAGCAAAAAAAACAAGUCUUCUUUCUCAAUAACAUAGACCAGCCCAGCAGUGAGUCAGAGACAGAGGACGCUGCUCCUGCUCCUGCUCCUGCCCCUGCCGCUGGCCCUUCCCGUGUACCUGUCCCGGAGGCUGGCCCUGCCCCAAGACCACAGAGCGGGACGAAGAGGAAGAGAGCCAGGGUACCGGAGGGGAACACAAAUAUCCAGACAGCCAUCCUCCAGGCCCUGCAGAGGCAAAACGCUGUGCCUACCCCUACCCCGCUCUCUGGGAUUGAGCACUUUUUAACUGGCCUAGUUCCUUCCCUGGAGAGAAUGCCACCUGAAGUACUGGAGUACGUUCAAUUCCAAAUUCGAAAGGUCAUAUUUGACAAUACUAAUUUCACACUUUAUUUGGAACCUGUUUAAGCUUAUUAGCUAGUGGUGGUGACAAUCUCUCCAGGGAAAGAACUAGGCUGAUGUCACUGUUCAUUUGUUAUUGUUCCGUUAUGUUUAUAUUAUAUAUUUCGUAUGUUAUUUUUGUUAUUUAUAUAAUUAUUUUUUAAAUAAAAUAUUUCUCACAACUCUUCUCUCAAUAUAUGAUUUUAAGAUCUAGCAUGCAUGGACACAAAUAUACAUUUUUAAUAACACUACUUAAUUGAACAAUUUUAAUAACAAUUUAAUAAUAAUGAAGGAAUCCCUUUUGUUUUGUGUGGGUGGCUCUUAAAAGAGCCGUUUUGGG